GAGGAUCAUACUGAGUGAGGGCUCACGCCGACCUCCAACCCAUCUGUGAACCACCACUUGUUGCUUCGGGGGCGACCCUGCCGGCGAACUCGUCGCCGGGCGCCCCCGGGAGGUCUUCUAAACACUGCAUCUUUGCGUCGGAGGUUCAAAACAAAAUCGAACAAAACUUUCAAACAACGGAUCUCUUGGUUCUGGCAUCGAUGAAGAACGCAGCGAAAUUGCGAUAAGUAAUGUGAAUUGCAGAAUUCAGUGAAUCAUCGAAUCUUUGAACGCACAUUGCGCCCUUUGGUAUUCCGAAGGGCAUGCCUGUUCGAGCGUCAUUUCACCACUCAAGCCUGGCUUGGUAUUGGGCGUCGCGGUGUUUCGCGCGCCUUAAAGUCUUCCGGCUGAGCUGUCCGUCUCCUAGCGUUGUGGAUUCUUCAAUUCGCUUCGGAGUGCGGGCGGCCGCGGCCGUUAAAUCUUUAUUGAAAGGUUGACCUCGGAUCAGGUAGGGAUACCCGCUGAACUUAAGCAU
rnacentral:rRNA from 1 species